UACGGAGGGAGCUAGCGUUGUUCGGAAUUACUGGGCGUAAAGGGCUCGUAGGCGGCCGACUAAGUCAGACGUGAAAUCCCUCGGCUUAACCGGGGAACUGCGUCUGAUACUGGACGGCUUGAGUUCGGGAGAGGGAUGCGGAAUUCCAGGUGUAGCGGUGAAAUGCGUAGAUAUCUGGAAGAACACCGGUGGCGAAGGCGGCGACCUGGUCCGAUACUGACGCUGAGGCGCGAAAGCGUGGGGAGCAAACAGG
rnacentral:rRNA from 1 species